rnacentral:tRNA from 1 species
GUGGUUGUGGCUCAAUGGUAGAGUGCACCUCUAGCACAGGUAAGGUACUGUGUUCGAUCCUCAGCACCACA